AUUGAACGCUGGCGGCAGGCCUAACACAUGCAAGUCGAACGAGUGGCGGACGGGUGAGUAAUGUCUGUGAACCUGCCCGAUGGAGGGGGAUAACUACUGGAAACGGUAGCUAAUACCGCAUACCAUCGGAUGUGCCCAGAUGGGAUUAGCUAGUAGGUGGGGUAACGGAUCACCUAGGCGACGAUCCCUAGCUGGUCGGCGAGGAUGACCAGCCACACUGGAACUGAGACACGGUCCAGACGACUCCGGGAGGCAGGAGUGGGGAAUAUUGCACAAUGGGCUCAAGCCUGAUGCAGCCAUGCCGCGUGGAUGAAGAAGGCAUUCGGGUGGUAAAGUAAUUUUUGCGAGGAGGAGUUACUCGCAGAAGAAGCACCGGCUAACUCCGUGCCAGCAGCCGCGGUAAUUC
rnacentral:rRNA from 1 species